GCCCUGACAUUUUCGCUUUUAAACAUCAAAGAGGGGGUCAGUCGGGUUCUAAUGAGUGUAUCUUUAGGUUCACCGUACAGAAGAAGGGUCAAACUACCACCAGGGUCAUAAAACUACUCCUGAAAAUGCCCACAACUCCUACGAAAGUCUUGUCAAAUAUGUGUUCUUGGGCGGCGAAAUGUCUUAUGAUACGACCCAUUAGACAGACAUGAAAAGGCCGAUUAUAUCAUGACGAAGGCAACUAUACACAAAUUGGGCGUCACAUGUUGAAAAAUUGAUGUAGACAAAAAAAACAAAA